rnacentral:rRNA from 1 species
AAACUCAAAUGAAUUGACGGGGACCCGCACAAGCGGUGGAUGAUGUGGUUUAAUUCGAUGCAACGCGAAAACCUUACCCACCUUUGACAUGUACGGAAGCCUUUAGAGAUAGAGGCGUGCUCGAAAGAGAGCCGUAACACAGGUGCUGCAUGGCUGUCGUCAGCUCGUGUCGUGAGAUGUUGGGUUAAGUCCCGCAACGAGCGCAACCCUUGUCAUUAGUUGCUACGAAAGGGCACUCUAAUGGGACUGCCGGUGACAAACCGGAGGAAGGUGGGGAUGACGUCAAGUCCUCAUGGCCCUUAUAGGUGGGGCUACACACGUCAUACAAUGGCCGGUACAGAGGGUGGCCAACCCGCGAGGGGGAGCCAAUCCCACAAAGCCGGUCGUAGUCCGGAUCGCAGUCUGCAACUCGACUGCGUGAAGUCGGAAUCGCUAGUAAUCGCGGAUCAGCAUGUCGCGGUGAAUACGUUCCCGGGUCUU